rnacentral:rRNA from 1 species
UACAGAGGGGGCAAGCGUUGUUCGGAAUUACUGGGCGUAAAGGGCGCGUAGGCGGCUUUCUAAGUCGAACGUGAAAUCCCUGGGCUCAACCCAGGAACUGCGUCCGAUACUGGAAGGCUUGAAUCCGGGAGAGGGAUGCGGAAUUCCAGGUGUAGCGGUGAAAUGCGUAGAUAUUACAAGGAACACCAAUGGCGAAGGCAGCUUGCUGGGCCUUUUCUGACGCUGAGGUACGAAAGCGUGGGGAGCGAACAGG